rnacentral:tRNA from 1 species
UGCCUGGUGGUGUAACGGUAGCACAGCGGGUUUUGGUCCCGUUAGUCUAGGUUCGAAUCCUGGCCGGGCAGCCA